rnacentral:rRNA from 1 species
GACGAACGCUGGCGGCGUGCUUAACACAUGCAAGUCGAACGGAAAGGCCCUGCUUUUGUGGGGUGCUCGAGUGGCGAACGGGUGAGUAACACGUGAGUAACCUGCCCUUGACUUUGGGAUAACUUCAGGAAACUGGGGCUAAUACCGGAUAGGAGCUCCUGCUGCAUGGUGGGGGUUGGAAAGUUUCGGAGGUUGGGGAUGGACGCGCGGCUUAUCAGCUUGUUGGUGGGGUAGUGGCUUACCAAGGCUUUGACGGGUAGCCGGCCUGAGAGGGUGACCGGCCACAUUGGGACUGAGAUACGGCCCAGACUCCUACGGGAGGCAGCAGUGGGGAAUAUUGCACAAUGGGCGGAAGCCUGAUGCAGCAACGCCGCGUGCGGGAUGACGGCCUUCGGGUUGUAAACCGCUUUCGCCUGUGACGAAGCGUGAGUGACGGUAAUGGGUAAAGAAGCACCGGCUAACUACGUG